rnacentral:tRNA from 1 species
CCACAAUGCAAAUUUGGAGAAGUACCCUAGGGGUACCGGGGGCUUCUCCCGUUA